UCUAGGAGAUGGCAAACCACCAUUUGGCCACCAUUCCUGUAGACCAUGAACUAUGCGAGACCCAGGAACUUGGAGGUGUGCUUGGUGCAUUUAAGGAUUUAGUGUAGAGAAAUCUAGUCAACAGUUGGAAUUACAGACCAGAGAUGAGGAACCAGGAGGAAACUGAUGUUCAUUGGGCAACAGAUUAUUGUGAUGUCGUAGGUAUGGUGAAAUUGCUCACCAAGCAACAAGAGAAAAGAGUCAAUGAUUUAGAACAUCAAUAUUUCAGGGAUGGUAAGAAGAAAAGGAACCAGGGCAGAAAUCUAAAAAGGCUUGAUUGUUGAGAGAUAUCAGCCAUCUUGAUUGGUGAUGUGUUCACAGUCUGGAUUUGAUCACCCCAAUUGCAUUCUGCUUAUCAGAUUUGGAAUCCUGAUCUACAAAAGAAAGUUGCUUUUCCCCCUCCAACCCAACCCCCUACUGAUUGAUUUUUGAAGAGCCAGCCCAAAUAGCAGUGGUAAAGAGAGAGCAAGGGAGAAGGAGAGAGAAUGAUCAACAUGAGAGUGAAACAUUGACCUACUGCCUCCUGCACGCCCCCUACCAGAGACCAAGCAUGUGCCCUGACUAGGAAUUGAACUGGUAACCCUUUAGUGCACAGGACAAUACCCAACCAAGGGUACUGAUCAUAUCCAUCUUGCUCAACGUGAUGAACACCCAACACAGUUUAAGCUUUGUACCCAGGCCUCUGCUAGGUGUUUUAUAUACCUCCUCUCAUUGGAAGCCACACCCAUCUUAUGAG